rnacentral:rRNA from 1 species
UCGCCUGUUUAUCAAAAACAUCGCCUUUAAAAAAGGUAAUACCUGCUCAAUGAAAGAUUUAAAUAGCCCUAUAAGCUAAGGUAGCAUAAUAAUUUGUUUCUUAAUUGGAAACUAGAAUGAACGGUUUUAUCAAAACUGUAUGUUUAAAUUAAAUUAAAAUAUUUAUUUAAAUGAAAAGAUUUAAAUAUUUGUUUUAGACGAUAAGACCCUAUGAAUCUUAAUAAUUCUAAUAUAUUAUAAAUUAUAAAUUAUUUAUUUGGGGAAAAUUAUAAUUUUUUUAUUAAAAGAUAAAUUGAUCUGUCUUCAAUUUUCUGAAAAAGAUACUCUAGGGAUAACAGCGUUAUUUUUGUAAAAGCCCGGAUUGAAACAAAAAAUUGUGACCUCGAUGUUGA